GCCGGGGGGACUGGGACCAGUUUGAGUCCCUCCGGUAUGUACUGAGCCCCUCCCCCCCCCCCCCCAAUUAAUCCCGCCCCCCCCAAUUAAUCUCGAGCCAGGCUCCCCUCCCCGCCCCCACCAAAGUCUUCCCGACGCAAAGCAUCAUGGGAGCUCGGUGCAAGCUGGGACAGCCCGGGGUUAAUUACGGCCACGUAAUUAUGACCUUGACGAGUUGCCUGGAGCUCAAUUAACACCUGAGCUCAUUAAGAGGCCUCUUAAUGAACCCGGAGCUGAUUGGGCAACGAUGGGCCCAGGGCAAGUCGAGACGAUCCAGGAGGGGGCUGAGUCAGCCCAACCCAACCCAGCCCAGUCCAACCCAGUGACGGGGUUGGCUUCAACUGGGAUUUCCAGAGAACUGGAAGGACCCGCUCGAGCGGCGGCUCCCUGCCCCCGAGGUACCGACCUGGGAGGUUCCCCAGGGUCUUCUGGGGUUGGACUGGGAGGAACUGGGAGGCCCCUGGGGAGGAAGAGGAGAAGGUGUGAGCUCAUCUCCUCUCCUUCUGGAGGGACCAAGAGAAAUGGGGGUGGCUGAGGGUCGCCACGGCGCCCGGCACGGGGUCACCAUCUCCGUCCCACCCCCGGGAUCGGUGAGGGGCUGGGGAUGGUCACGGGGUUUGCCCAGAGGAGCUGGAGGUGGCCAGGAACGAAGGCAAGGACGGAGAGAAGGAGAAAGGUUGAGAGCAGGCCAGGAGGAAACGCGGAAAAAACGGGCAAGAGGAAGGACAAGCCGCGGCUUGGUGGUUCUCAGCUGUCCUCGGCCAACCCCGCGUCCUGCAUCCGGCGAGGAGCCACGGUUCAAGGUUGACCCUCAUCAAGGUUGACCCUCAUCAAAGAUGUGUCCCGGCACAUCUUGGCCAACGCUGCAUCCAGCGAGGAGCCACGGUUCAAGGUUGACCCUCACCAAAGACACGUCCCAGCACGUGCCGGCAUCCAGUGAGAAGCCACGGUUCAAGGUUGACCCUCACAAAGAUGCGUCCCGGCAUGUCUUGGCCAACGCUGCAUCCAGCGAGGAGCCACGGUUCAAGGUUGACCCUCACCAAAGAUGUGUCCCGGCACGUCUUGGCCAACCCUGCAUCCAGCAAGGAGCUACGGUUCAAGGUUGACCCUCAUCAAAGACGUGUCCCGGCACAUCUUGGCCAACCCUGCAUCCAGCAAGGAGCUACGGUUCAAGGUUGACCCUCAUCAAGGUUGACCCUCAUCAAAGAUGUGUCCCGGCACAUCUUGGCCAACGCUGCAUCCAGCGAGGAGCCACGGUUCAAGGUUGACCCUCACCAAAGACACGUCCCAGCACGUGCCGGCAUCCAGUGAGAAGCCACGGUUCAAGGUUGACCCUCACAAAGACGCGUCCCGGCACGUCUUGGCCAACCCUGCAUCCAGCGAGGAGCCACGGUUCAAGGUUGACCAUCAUCAAGGUUGACCCUCAUCAAAGAUGUGUCCCGGCACGUCUUGGCCAACCCUGCAUCCAGCGAGGAGCCACGGUUCAAGGUUGACCCUCAUCAAAGACGUGUCCCGGCACGUCUUGGCCAACCCUGCAUCCAGCGAGGAGCCACGGUUCAAGGUUGACCCUCAUCAAAGACGUGUCCCAGCACGUCUUGGCCAACCCUGGUCCUGCACCCAAUGAGAAGCCACGUUUUAGGCUUGACUCCUACUGGAGACAGAUCCUGGUGGCCUCUUGACCGCCUUCUCCAUCCCUAGGUCCUGCAUCUCCCAAGGACCUAUGGUUUGGAGUCCAACCCCAUCAAAGACACGUCCUGGUGCCACCUCAAUCAUCCUCGUCCAAUCCCAGGUCUUACAGCCAGGGAGGAGCCACGUUUUGUGGUCCAACCCCAUCCGAGAUGUGUCCUGGUGCCUUCUCGACUAUCUCCAUCCAACCCAAGGUCCUGUGUCCAAUGAGGAUCCACGUUUCGGGGUGGAUCCCAUCAGAGCUGUGUCCCGAUCUCCUCUCUAUUGUCCUCACACGACCCCAGGUCUUGCACCCACCAAGGAGCCACGUUUUGGGGUCAAACCCACUGGAGAUGCGUCCUGGUGUCCUCCCACCCAUCUUCAUCCAGCUCCAGGUUCUGGUAUCCACCAAGGAGCCACGUUUUGGGGUCAAACCCACUGGAGAUGCGUCCUGGUGUCCUCCCAAACAUCUUCAUCCAGCUCCAGGUUCUGGUAUCCACCAAGGAGCCAGGUUUUGGGGUUGAACCCACUGGAGAUGCGUCCUGGUGUCCUCCCACCCAUCUUCAUCCUGCUCCAGGUUCUGGUGAGGAGCCACGUUUUGGGGUUGAACCCACUGGAGAUGCGUCCUGGUGUCCUCCCACCCAUCUCCAUCCAGCUCCUGGUUCUGGUAUCCAUCAAGAAGCCACGUUUUGGGGUUGAACCCACUGGAGAUGCGUCCUGGUGUCCUCCCACCCAUCUCCAUCCAGCUCCUGGUUCUGGUAUCCAUCAAGAAGCCACGUUUUGGGGUUGAACCCACUGGAGAUGCGUCCUGGUGUCCUCCCACCCAUCUCCAUCCAGCUCCUGGUUCUGGUAUCCAUCAAGAAGCCACGUUUUGGGGUUGAACCCACUGGAGAUGCGUCCUGGUGUCCUCCCACCCAUCUUCAUCCAGCUCCAGGUUCUGGUAUCCACCAAGGAGCCACGUUUUGGGGUUGAACCCACUGGAGAUGCGUCCUGGUGUCCUCCCACCCAUCUUCCUCCAGCUCCAGGUUCUGGUAUCCACCAAGGAGCCACGUUUUGGGGUCGAACCCACUGGAGAUGUGUCCUGGUGUCCUCCCACCCAUCUUCAUCCAGCUCCAGGUUCUGGUGAGGAGCCACGUUUUGGGGUCGAACCCACUGGAGAUGUGUCCUGGUGUCCUCCCACCCAUCUUCAUCCAGCUCCGGGUUCUGGUAUCCAUCAAGAAGCCACGUUUUGGGGUCGAACCCACUGGAGAUGCGUCCUGGUGUCCUCCCACCCAUCUCCAUCCAGCUCCAGAUUCUGGUAUCCACCAAGGAGCCACGUUUUGGGGUCGG